UUGCCUUAGACAAAGGAUGCUCUUGGAGUCCCACCACACCUAAAACCACGCUUUGAAGGAUCUGCCAAGCUCACUUUUAAUCAUGAGAAAGAAAUUACCCACAUGGAGACAGCAGAAAAUGAGAAAGGAGAGAUCGUGCUGCGAAUAAUUCCAGCGAGUGCCAAGGGGCUAGUUGAGGAAUGGCUUCAUGAGG
rfam:Rattus norvegicus strain BN; Sprague-Dawley chromosome 7 CRA_213000034367417, whole genome shotgun sequence.